GAUACCCCACUAUGCUUAGCCAUAAACAAUGACAUUAAAACACAACAAUGUUCGCCAGGAUACUACAAGCACUAGCUUAAAACCCAAAGGACCUGACGGUGCCUUAGAUCCCCCUAGAGGAGCCUGUUCUAGAACCGAUUAUCCUCGUUAAACCUCACCACUCCUAGUAAUAUCAGCCUAUAUACCACCGUCGCCAGCUUACCCUCUGAGGGUAUAAAAGUAAGCAAGAUGGGUACAACCCAGAAAGUCAGGUCGAGGUGUAGCAUAUGGGGUGGGAAGAAAUGGGCUACAUUUUCUAUCACAGAAUAUACGAAUCUGUAUUAUAUGAAAUAAUUCUUUGAAGGAGGAUUUAGUAGUAAAAGAGAAGCAGAGUGUCUCUUUGAACC
rnacentral:rRNA from 1 species